rfam:Salmo salar isolate Sally breed double haploid chromosome ssa15, whole genome shotgun sequence.
CCCAUACGUGACUGUAAGUCGCUUUGGAUAAAAGUGUCUGCUAAAUGGCAGAUA